rnacentral:tRNA from 1 species
GGUGUAGCGCAGUUGGUAGCGCGCCUGCUUUGGGAGCAGGAUGCCGUGGGUUCAAGUCCCGCCACU